rnacentral:rRNA from 1 species
UGGGGAAUAUUGCACAAUGGGCGCAAGCCUGAUGCAGCCAUGCCGCGUGUGUGAAGAAGGCCUUCGGGUUAUAAAGCACUUUCAGCGGGGAGGAAGGCGGUGAGGUUAAUAACCUCAUCGAUUGACGUUACCCGCAGAAGAAGCACCGGCUAACUCCGUGCCAGCAGCCGCGGUAAUACGGAGGGUGCAAGCGUUAAUCGGAAUUACUGGGCGUAAAGCGCACGCAGGCGGUCUGUCAAGUCGGAUGUGAAAUCCCCGGGCUCAACCUGGGAACUGCAUUCGAAACUGGCAGGCUAGAGUCUUGUAGAGGGGGGUAGAAAUCCAGGUGUAGCGGUGAAAUGCGUAGAGAUCUGGAGGAAUACCGGUGGCGAAGGCGGCCCCCUGGACAAAGACUGACGCUCAGGUGCGAAAGCGUGGGGAGCAAACAGG